GGUCAGGGCUGGGGGCCGGCGGGGGUCGCGGCUGUCCCGCUGGCUCCCUCUCCCCGCCAGUCAUCCUCACUGUAGACUCGGGGAGAACCGAGUCGCGGCCCAGGACCCCGGACGCGGUUCCCUCCGUGUCCCAUUUAGUCCGCACUGACACUAGCAGCUGCUCCCAAUUACCAAUGUUUAGCAUAUGCAAUAGACUUACUCCUCGAUUUAUCUAUAUUUACUGACUGUUCCACAGUUAUACCAAGAAAUGUUUACACAGAUGAUGAUAAGCAUAUGUAGAGAUGCAACGUUUUCACAGACCAGAAUAACCAGCUCCAGGCUGCAGUUCUCUACACGAAGAUAAAGUUUGUUGGGAAACUCCUGACUGCGGCGACCUGAGCCCAGAGGAGCAGCCGGGGGCAGAGGAGCAGCCGGGGGCGGUGGGCAGAGCCGGGUGUGGACAAGCGGGUGGGUCCUGCACCUGGGUGGGGGAAGCAGCAGGCUCCAGGGUCAAGUUGAGGUUGUGCUAGCCCUGGCUUCCAGACCUCAGGCGGCCCACUCUGCCCUCGGCCUGUUUCCUCUCUUGUAAAGUGGGGAGUAAGAGACCAUCACAAGCCAGGGAUGAAGUGGCACAAACUGUGAUCUCAGCCACUCUGGAAGCUGGGUCGUAGGGGUGGAGGGGUCACUUGUGUCUCAGAGCUGGAGCUGUGGUGUGCGAGGCCCGCACCUGUAAAUGGCCACUGCACUCCAGCCUGGGCAACACUGAGACCCUGGCUCUGAAAAACAACAAAACUUAAAAGAUGAACACAGAUGAAGUAUGGGAGCCUGGUAUGUGGUAAGCACUCCACAGGUGUCAGCCGCCAGCCCGCAGUCCAGGACAGGUCAGGGGGAGACCCGCAGUCUGCGACAGGCUGCCGGCUUCCAUCACUGCCUGAUGGAAAACAAGCCUGUCUUUGGGGCCAACCAGCUAACAAGUGAGCCCUUCACCCCUAGGCGAAGCACCCAAAGGGGCAACCAUGGACCACUGAAUAAAAAGACUCCUGGGACGCCUUCUCCGGACACAUUCUUAGUAAAGAGAUAUGUGGAUGAGGAUGUUGUGUGUAUUUCUGUGUAACAGGCCACCCCAAACCUCAGAGGGCGGAAACCUCUCUUCACUGCUCAUGACCCUGUGGGCCUGCAGCUUGAGCCAGUUCAACUGGGACAGCUUGCCUCGGCUCCAUAGGGUGUCUGCUGGACCCACUUAUGGGCAGAGGCCCCCCAGCAGAUCCGGGCCACGUGUCACCCACCCACCGCAGGCUGGUCAGGCCUCCCUCCCAUGGUGGCUGGGCUCCAUCGGCAGCAAGAGAAAGCAAAUCUCCAUGGUGCUUCCCUCCAUCUCCCCAGGAGAAGCAGGUGAGAUGGCCAGGGCCUGAGUGGAUGUGAGCGACUGUGCAGGGGACAGGCACGGGAAGCAUGGUUCAUCAGGACGGUCACUGCAACAGUCUUCCACAGGCCUUCGCUGAGAUGCAGGUUGGUGUAGGGAACACAAGGGAACUCACCAGAAUGGAGGCUGCUUAUGCAAGUUUCAGCUUGUUCUUUUUCUCCCUCCAGAGCAUAGGAGAGCAGAUGGCGGCCAAGGCCGGGACCCUCUGCUGCUCCCACGGGCCUCUCAGGCAGCUCUGCAGGACCAGCCAGCAGCCUCUGAUUCUCCCUUCCUAUUCCAUGGCCUCAGAUGCCAUCCUUUCCACAGAGACAGUUUCUAUCGUGACACUCUCCCUGACUUGGAAGAAUGGCACUCAGAACAUUGCCCUUGGUGCUGAUGUCAGGGGUGAAAGCAGUUUCCAGUCGCCUGGGGCCAGGACACGGCAUUCCCAGCUGUUGUGGAGCAUGAAGCACCAGGAUGCCCAUUUGGGUGCCUGUUGAGAUCAGGCUCUUUGAGAAGGAAUCCUGUGGUCGCCUGAGGAGGCCCGAAGAAAUUUCGAGGACAUCUCAGCCAUCCGUCCCCUGUUCACUGUGGAGGUCGAACACCAAGGUUCCUGGAGGGGGACCCUGGGUCUCCACAGAAGUGCUGGCAACCAUCUACUUCCCGGCCUUCCGUGCCUGCCCCACCUCUGUUCUGUUGUUUACCGUCUCCUUUGUGGGAAUUAUGGAAUAAACGAUCACUUUGGUGUCCUGGAAAAUAAACCUGAUGCUGGAGGACUUGAGUGUAGGAAUCCCGCUGGGCUUCCUCUGUCUGCCCCAUGAGUUAGGCUUUGCAUAAGCAUGUGAGACAUCAACCGCUAUGAAAUGUGGUCUACACAGCACCAAAAAAUCCAUUUCACCACAUUCUCCCUUCAGUGCAGUUAAAUGGCAUGACCUUGUGACUGCCCCCCACGAGAAGAAUUAAAAAUUACACCGGCCCUGCCAAAGCCUACAGGACACAGUGGCACAAAAUGAUUUCCACGAUCUUAGGAUAUAGACCCAGGCCGACUCGACAGAUUAAGUGGAUUUCAAACUGUGGUCUCAAGCCUUCUGGGAACUGCCAGAAAGGAGGGGAAGGUGCCGAGUGGCCCAGCUGCCCAGCCUGUUCACACACUGGGCUUUCCAAAAGGAGGAGAAGGCGCCAGCCUCAGAGUGGCCCAGCUGCCCAGCCUCUUCACACACUGGGCUUUCAGUUGAAGAGAGUGUUCAAAGCUUACACAUGUAAAUGCCACUGAUCUGUGAACCCCCUUCCUGUCAUGCCCAGGGACUGGCAGACUGUGGCUAGAAGGGUGGGACCAGAGGGGUGGGUCACGUGACCUGCACACGGAUGUGCUGGCCUCCCUGGGCCUCGGUGGCCAGGACAGCCUCCCUUUCCCUUUCCAGCCACACAGGGCAAUCCGUGUGGAUUUCUGUCUCCCCAGUUACAGAGUGUGCUGCCAACCUGCUCUGCUGAGACUGGCCUGGUCUUGGUCCUGGUGUCCUAGGGCUGAUGACUGACCACAGCCUUUGUGCCUUUGAAGCCCAUUUGACUAUAGUCCUUGUGUACAACUGAAAAUGAAGCUUUAAACAAUCUUGCUUUGUUUUAUUUAAUUCUGCCCAAUCUAUUUGAGAAAGGACACUCACAGGUACUUUUUCGAUUGUAGCCUAAAGUGGAUUAUUGAUUUCCUUGUUUCUCAAACAUCAGGAGGAGCAUAAAACUGCUAAUAAGAGGUGACCAAUAUUUGGUGAUACCAUGAUUUCAGACAUAUUAAUUUUGCCCUAUAUUUUAAAAAUAAAAUAAAAAGACAUGAGACUGGAGUAGCAAAACCAGAUGGUGCCAACCCAUUCGGUCAACAGCUGCCAUGGUGGUGGAAACCGUGUGUGAGGCCCGACCAGCUGACAAUGUGCCACCGUCUCUGGGACAACUCCCAGCUCCCACAGUGAUGCAGCAGGAGCAGUCUGUCUGUGCUCUGUGACAGGCACACAGCCCCCCACCCCACCCCCUGACUCCAGGACCUCAAGCGGAUUCUGACUCCCAGGAUGGCCCUGGGCACUUAGAGCUGGCAUUGAGACAAUUGAUGUCUGAGUGGCUGUGUUAGGAAGACAGCUGCGUACGAAAGACUGAUGUCCGGAGAGGAGAGCCGUGCUGGAGAUGGACACUUGAAACCCUUGAAAAUGGAAGACGUCACCGAUCCCUUAAAGAGAGGGUGGAGAAAGGAAAGAAGGGAACCUGGCACCAGACCUGAAGAGCCUCAGCCUGGCAUUAGAGGUGAGCAUAGAAAGAGAAGGGGGCGUGGGAGGCAGGAAGGCCCAUCGAGGCAGGAGAGAAAAGGCAGAAGCGUGUUUCUCUGGAGGCCAAGGCAGGGAGACUGCUUGAGGCCAGGAGUUGGAGGCUUCAGUGAGCUAAUACCUCACACAGCUUGUAUUCUUUUGUGUCUCGAUUAUUUCACUUGAUCUUGGAUAAAGAGUGGAAAGGGAGACAUAAAUAUGGUUAUGUACGCAGAUAAUUUUAAAUCUACAGCCGAAGUCUUAGAUCUAAUUAAAAUUCAGCAAGAUUACUGAGUAUAAAAUUGACACCCAUGCACACACCCCCAAAAUGAUUUCUAUGUAUCAGCAGCAAACAACAUGUAAUUUGGAAGAUGAUUCUGUUUACAACAGUAACAAAAGUGUGAACUAAAAAUAAAUCAAAAAGAAGUACAUGAUCCUUAAGGAGAAAUUCAUUUUUAAAAAUUAUUAAAAGAGCAGGCAAAUAUAGAGACACACCAAACACCUCAAAUUCUUCGUGGGAUGAGUAUAAAUAUAUAAAUCAAACAAAAUUAGCAGCUUCACCAACUUCUUUUGAAUGAUACUAGAUUUUUAAAAUAAAUCAGAUGCAAAAACAGUAUGGUUCCUGGUGACAUACUACUCUAAAAUAAUGAACUAGAGCUAGGAAAAGGAGAUUUUUUUUUUCGAUUUUGCUGAGUUAUGUCUUAAUUAUUAUGUUAGCAGUCUUUCCUGAGAAGCUAAAAGGUAAUUAGCAACUGAAGCCAGGCAGGAGGCGGAGGAGGGAGGGCGUGGGCAGGCCGUGCUCUCUGCUGAAUCUCCAGGAGCUGUUCUGGUGGGGAUGGAGGCUGCAGGCUGAGCCUAAGUGCAGUUGGGUUAGUGACAAAUUAGAUGGCUCAUGUGGUUAUUUAAAGCCUUCUCUCUAGGGAACUUUCAACUACCAUAUAUUCAAGAUCUUGCAGUUGAUAGUUUUAAACUGGAAUCUCAGGGACUCGGGCUGACUGUUACCUAUACAAGUCGCUAAGGGAUACAGCAGCUGUGAGCGGUGGUGUGAAAAAUGGCCAUCAUUGCGUAUUUUCAAACCUUUUUUAAGUAUAAUGCAUACACCAAAAAGUAUCCAUGUCGUAAGUGUACAUCUCAACACGUUAGCCCAAAGUGGACACAGCUGUGAAACCUCCACCAGGGCAAGCAGCGGAACGUGACCGACCCGGAGUGUCCGGCAUGCUCCUCCGCAGCCAAGGCUGCCUCUGGGCCUUAAAGAUAACCUCUACCCUGACUCCCACCUCCGCAGAUUGGUUACGCCUGUUUUUGCUUCACAUGAGCGACAUCACACGGCAUGUAUUCUUUCGUGUCUUGAUUCUUUCACUUGAUGCUGUGAUCAUGAGCUCCAUCAACCUGUGCCUCUGUGAACCUUCUCAUACUCCUCUCUUAGUGCACGUGUGUAUAUGUUUCUGUUGGGUUGUGUACCAGGUCGCAGGAAACACAUAGGUCCCACUCUAGAGGGCACACUGAUUUACCAAAGUGUUGAGCCACUUUAUACUCCUACCAGCAAGCGAGGAGCUUUCCAGCUGCUUCUUGUCCACAUCAACAGUUGAUGUUGACACUUUGGCCACCCUGGAGGGUGGUGGUGGUUUCUCGUGGUGGCUUUAAUCUGUAGUUCACUAAUGACCAGUGAGGUUGAGCAUCUUUACAUGUUCUUAUUUUCCACAGGCACAUCCUUUCUGGUGAAGAAGCCACAAGUUUUCUUUAUUAUUUAUUUGUAGAAGUUAUUUAUAUAUUCCAGACCCAAACUCUUGGCAGAUAUAUGUGUUGCAAGUACCUUCUCUCACCCUGUGUCUUGCAUUUCCAUAAUCACAGUGGAGUCUUUUGUUAUACAGGAGUUCUUAAUUUCAAUGUGAUCCAAUUUAUCUACCUUUUUUCUACGGUUAGGGUUUUUUUGGUGUCCAGUUUAGAAAACUCAGCUACUCCAUGGUCAUGAAGGAAUGCUUCUGUUAUCUUUUGGAAGGUUUAUUGUUUCAAUUUUCAAAUUUAAAGGACAAUUCACCAGGAAUUGUUUUUCUGUACAGUGUGAGGUAGGGGUUCAGAGUCAGUCCAUCAGUGUUGUCUGUGUUUGAUGUCCAGUUGACCUAGCACUGUUUACUGACAUGAUUUCCCUUCUCCCUGCUGCUCUGCUGCAGUAGCUUUGUUGUGAAUUAAGCAUCCAUAUAGGCAUGGGUUGUUGUUUUUUCUGAACUAUUUUGUUAGGUGCUGAGGACUGGCCUUGAACUGCUAUUUCCUGUCCUAAUUACUGAAACUUUCUUAAGAGUCUUCUUUUGACACCAUAGAAUCACCUUGCAGUUUUUUUGUUUUUCAAAAUUUUCUUGGUUAUACUUGGUAUUUUGCGUUUCCAUUUAAAUCUUUCAAUUAGCUUAUCAGUUUCCUCAAAAUAUUCUGCUAGAAUUUUUAUUAGACUUGCAUUGAAGCUAUAGAUCAUUUGGUGAGAAUGGAUAUUCUUACAAUAUUGAGUGCUCCAAUUCAUGUUUAGCCAUACAUUGAUUUAAAUAUUCUCCAAUUGUUCUCAUUAUCUUCUAGCCUUCUGUGUAGAUAUUACACACUUAGUCCAUUAGAUUUAUUCCCAGACAUUUGGUGCAUUGGAUGAUCAAUUUAAAAUGAUCCCUAUUUUUAUUUUGUAACCACUGGUUUCUGGUUUAUUUAGAAUGCAAUUGAUCUUUGUGUAUUGAUCUCGUACCAGCAGUCUUUCGAGAUUCACUUAAUAAUUUCAAUAGUUGUCUGUAGAUUCUAUUGGGUUUCUUACAUACGUAUCAUUUUGUUUGUGAAUAAUCACUUUUUCAUUUUUUCCUUUCCAGUCAUUUUAUCCUUUAUUGCUUUCUUCUUGGCUUACCUCAUUGGUUGCUGCUGAAAAGAAGUGUUAGUGGUGAGCAUCCUUAUUUUUUUCCUGACCUCAGGGGGGACACUUUCAAUAUUUCACCAGUAAGUGUGAGAUCUGUGGUAGGAUUUUUAAAUAUAGAUCCCCGCAAUGAGAUCAAGGAAGCUCCCUUCUAUCUCUUCUUUGCUAAGAGUUUCUUUUCCUGAAUGCAUGCUGAGUUGUAUCACAUUCUUUCUUCUGCAUUUAUUGAGAUGAUAGUAUGAUUUUUCUGCUUCAUUAUAUUAAUACGGUGAAUUAAGUUGAUUAAAGUUUAAAUGUUAUACCAAACUUGCAUUUCUGGAAAAAGCCCAACUUAGAAAAAGCCCAGGAGAUACCCCAGGAUCCUUCUAGCAAAUCCCCCUCUCUGCUUGCCCACCCACCUUGCUUCAAGGACAAGGAGUGGAAGAAAUAAGGAAAAUGGUGAAGAAGCCCAGGUCUCAGGGCUCCACCUGGCCAUGCUGUGGCCUAAGGCAUGUGGCAGGGGGGACUUUUGUGACUUGGCUGGGGGUGGUGAGGGGCUGCUGUGGCCUAGUUGGUGGGGAGUCUGUGGCCUGGGUACGGGGGCAUUGCUGACUACUGUGGCCUGGUCCCCCUCCCCAACUGCAUCCUAGCUGUGGGGGGCUGCUGUGGCCUGGCCCUGCCUAGCAGAUGAGAGGCUCCAGGCCUCGUUUUCUAUUGAGUGCAUGGAGACAGCUCUGGUUGAUGUGAGACCAGGUCACUUACUGGACAUGGGUCCCUUCCUUGGGCUUCAGUCUCCUCAUCGGAGAGGCUAUCUGUAAAGUCAGGAGUCAACAAAAUGUCCCUCGGGCAAACUGUGUAAAAAGAAAGUAUAAACUAAACAUUAAAUAUCCCGUCAGCCACAGAAAUGUGAGGCACUGUUCCCGCCUGCACUGAGGUUCAGAGACUCGCCCUUCCCCAGCACCAUCCACUGUAGGGUGCGGUGCUCAGUGUUUGCCAGCAGCCUAGGGUCUUCAAGGGGAAAAGUCUCUCUGCCGUCCUAUGCUGGCCACCAUGGGGACUUGUGAUGGAGCUACUCAUCAGUUCUUCGGCCAGUCUCUUUUCAGGGGGAAGGGUCUCCCAUCUGUCAUCAAUUCCUCAGGGGAUGGAGGGGAGGGAGGGCACAUCUGGAGGGGUGCAACCCCAGAUGGCCCCACGAGAACCAGGAGGGGCCCUGGUGGCAGCAGGAGUUCAGGCCCAGGAACAGGUCCCAGGCUCCCUCUUGUCCCAGCUCCUUCCCAGACCUCCUGGGAACACAGCACACAUUCCAGAGAGAUGAGAGCAGUCAUAGUCUGUGCGGGUUUGGUUGAAUGGCAUACAAUAUAAGCCCACCUAUUUUUGCUUUCUAGAAUUCCACUUCUAUUUUUGGUGGAAUAUGAAAGCUUUGACUAUUUCCCAAAGUGGAAAAACACAUAUUUUUCCUUGACUGUUUGGUAAUAUCUUUGUUGCUCAUUAAAUAAGUGCAUUCAGUCUGCAUGGGUGCUCGGUGAAGCCCCUUCCCGAUCCCCUGAGCAGGAGCUGACUGUGUGAACCACACACACAUCCUUUCUCAAGCCCUCCUGCAUUUUAUUUGUUAAAGCUUCAGCACUUCACACAUAUCCCAGUGGGUAGAUCUGAAUAAGGGCAUCAGAUGUGCCCACCACUCUGCAGCUAAGGACUGCAGAGAAACCUCUCCGUGAGGAUUCCAGUGCUUAGGUCCCAGGCCCCACCCCUCAUGUAUCUGUAAAAUAGAAAAGGAGGAGGGGGAGGGAGAGGAAGAAGAUGGGUAGGAGGGUAGGAGGAAGGGGAGGGGCACUUCCACCCCUUCUACUGCCUUAAGGAUGUGUGCGGUGGACACUGGGGUGACUAUGGAAGGAAUACGCCUACCUGAGCUCACUCCCACCAGCAUAUUAGCCUCCAUUACAACCACUAAUUCUUUUGGUAUUUUGCAACAGAGUUUCACUCCGUUGCCCAGGCUGGAGUGCAGUGGCACAACCAUGGCUCACUGGAGCUUCCACCUGCGCACUCAACCAA